GUAGGGAAUAUUGGGCAAUGGAUGCAAGUCUGACCCAGCCAUGCCGCGUGGAGGAAGAAGGUCCUCUGGAUUGUAAACUCCUUUUUUGGGGGAAGAAUAGUUCUCUUGCGAGGGAAUGUGACGGUACCCUAAGAAUAAGCCACGGCUAACUACGUGCCAGCAGCCGCGGUAAUACGUAGGUGGCAAGCGUUGUCCGGAUUUAUUGGGUUUAAAGGGUGCGUAGGUGGUUUGAUAAGUCAGUGGUGAAAGCUGGUUGCUCAACAAUCAAGUUGCCAUUGAUACUGUCGGACUUGAGAGAAGUGGAGGUUCAUGGAAUGGAUGGUGUAGCGGUGAAAUGCAUAGAUAUCAUCCAGAACGUCGAUUGCGAAGGCAGUGGGCUGUACUUUAUCUGACACUGAGGCACGAAAGUGUGGGGAUCAAACAGGAUUAGAAACCCUGGUAGUCC
rnacentral:rRNA from 1 species